rnacentral:rRNA from 1 species
CCUACGGGAGGCAGCAGUGAGGAAUAUUGGUCAAUGGACGAGAGUCUGAACCAGCCAAGUAGCGUGAAGGAUGACUGCCCUAUGGGUUGUAAACUUCUUUUAUAUGGGAAUAAAACGUUCCACGUGUGGGAUUUUGUAUGUACCAUAUGAAUAAGGAUCGGCUAACUCCGUGCCAGCAGCCGCGGUAAUACGGAUGGUCCGAGCGUUAUCCGGAUUUAUUGGGUUUAAAGGGAGCGUAGGUGGAUUGUUAAGUCAGUUGUGAAAGUUUGCGGCUCAACCGUAAAAUUGCAGUUGAAACUGGCAGUCUUGAGUACAGUAGAGGUGGGCGGAAUUCGUGGUGUAGCGGUGAAAUGCUUAGAUAUCACGAAGAACUCCGAUUGCGAAGGCAGUUCACUGGACUGCAACUGACACUGAGGCUCGAAAGUGUGGGUAUCAAACAGGAUUAGAUACCCGUGUAGUC